UAAUACGGAGGGUGCAAGCGUUAUCCGGAAUCACUGGGUUUAAAGGGUGCGUAGGCGGUCAGAUAAGUCAGUUGUGAAAUACCCCGGCUUAACCGGCGGAACUGCGAUUGAUACUGUUUGACUUGAAUCAGGUUGAGGUAGGCGGAAUGUGGCAUGUAGCGGUGAAAUGCUUAGAUAUGCCAUAGAACACCGAUUGCGAAGGCAGCUUGCUGGACCUGUAUUGACGCUGAGGCACGAAAGCGUGGGGAGCAAACAGGAUUAGAUACCCUGGUAGUCCACGCCCUAAACGAUGUUUACUUGCUGUGCGGGCUUCGGCUUGCGUGGCGAAGCGAAAGCGAUAAGUAAACCACCUGGGGAGUACGCCCGCAAGGGUG
rnacentral:rRNA from 1 species